GGCUCGAGGAAGCCUUGCACCAGGCUGAGGAGUUCCACAGGUUGAUUCAAGGUUUCCUGGAACAUCUGUCUGAAGCUGAGAAAACUCUCAAACUGGGACCUUUCCCAGAAGAGGAGGAAGCUGCUAAGGACUAUCAGAACCAGCUCCAGGAGCUGUUGCAAAGUCUGCAGUGCCAGCAGCUGGAGCUGGACUGCAUCACAUCCCUGGGGGAGGAGAUUCUGAGUAGCUGCCACCCUGAUGCUGUCAUCCCAGUCCGCUCCUGCCUCAGCAACAUCACCAA